rnacentral:rRNA from 1 species
UACGUAGGUGGCAAGCGUUGUCCGGAAUUAUUGGGCGUAAAGCGCGCGCAGGCGGUUUCUUAAGUCUGAUGUGAAAGCCCCCGGCUCAACCGGGGAGGGUCAUUGGAAACUGGGAAACUUGAGUGCAGAAGAGGAAAGUGGAAUUCCACGUGUAGCGGUGAAAUGCGUAGAGAUGUGGAGGAACACCAGUGGCGAAGGCGACUCUUUGGUCUGUAACUGACGCUGAGGAGCGAAAGCGUGGGGAGCGAACAGG